rnacentral:lncRNA from 1 species
AAAUUACAUUCCAAAUGGUGGAAUACUUAGGCUAACACAUCCUUGAUAUGGGCAUUUCUUCAUGCCUGGACACUUAAUCUAUAUGUGCAAUUGGGACAGGCCAACUGUGUGUCAUCGAUUCCAUCGGAGCCCCAUCAUUUCGCUCGUUCAACUCCUAUGGCCCUGUCCCCAGUUAAUUCCUACCCUGCUCGGUGUAUUGAUGUUAGCAUAUUAUAAAUGUAAGUAAUUACCAAAACCAGGUGCAAUUACGAAACGUCAACUGAUUUUGCAAUGGAAGUAGCAGGACAUAUUUUUGGUGUCGCUUUCCAUGAGAGCUGGAUUUGUGAAUACAAUGGAGACCUUUAUACACGUGCUCUACAGAUAGCUUGCAGGCGAAAAGCGAGUUGGAGCCAGUAGGUACUCCGCCUUGUCUCAAUAUGUUACACCUUGAGAGGAACAUAGUUUUAUCGUCCAGGGAAGUCUUUUUCCUGCAGACCUUGGAGUUUAGAAGUAGGUUUUCUGUAAUGACUUCCAAAGGAGGAGCUUCAACAACAAUCAAAAGAAAAUGAAAUGCUUUGACCAUUUAUACAAUUCAUUAUUGAAUCUCGUACUCUGCAUUUUUUCUUUUAAAUUUUGACAAGCAUGUCUAGUGUUUAUGGUGUAUGGAAUGGUCGUUUUUGUGCAACUUGAAGCACUGCUACUCGUGUGUAGAGGCCAGAAUAUUUUGUUUUGUCAAAUGUCAUCAUGUUCCCUAUUACUUCAAGACGAAACCUGAAGUAAAAGGAUUAAGUAAACGGGUGAUUUGCGCAAAUAGGAUACUUCGGUGUCAGUAUUGAUUCUUCGGAAAAGGUCCAAAUAUGCCUUUUGUACAGUAUGAAAUUGAACAUAUUUGCCCUUUGUUAAUAUUGCAGUCACAUAAUUGAUCUCCCAUAGUUGGUCCAUAUAUGCCCUUGCAGUCACAUAAUUGAUCCAUAUAUGCCCUUUUCGAAACGGAAUCCACCCAAGCUAAUUAGCUCUUUCUUUAAUUGUAUUAAAGCGUAUUACAAAUACUAUUUCCUUUUUAUUAGUACUUUUUUUCUUUACCUUUAUCUUUUCUUUCUUCUUUUUUCUUUUCUUCUCUUUUUUUUCCUUUUUCUUUCUCCCAUAUCCGAUUUCCUCCAUUGCUGAUGCCUUCUCCAUUUUCGUCACCAAUUUCACGUGAUUUUGUUCCUAAAAAUCAAACCUACACUAUCAAAAGCUUCCUAGCGAGAAGGCACUGGUUCUUCUAAAAAGAAAGAGAUGAAAAUUGUCGGAGAAAUUUUUUCGGUGGUGUUAAUUUGGUGAAAGUAGGAUAUGGUUAUUCAGAUUUUGAAGGUGUUGUUCACCAUGGAGCUUCAAAUCUGAAGGGAACAAAACCUUCAAAAUCCGAAUAACCAUAUCCUAUUUUCACCCAAUUAACACCACCGAAAGAAUUUCUGCGACAAUUUUCAUCUCCUUUAGGUCAGAAGAACCUGUGGGGUUUGUGAUAGUUAAAUUAGUAUGAAUUCAUGAAUUUUGUCAAGUGAAAUUGGUGAAGAAAAUGGAGAAGGCAUCAAAAAUGGAGAAACUCGGAUAUGGGAGAAAGAAAAAGGGGAAAAAAAGAGAGAAGAAGAAAUAAAAGAAAAAGGUAAAGAAAAAGUACUAAUAGAAAGGAAAUAGUGUUUGUAAUACACUUUAGUACAAUUAACGAAAGAGCUAAUUAGUUUGGGUGGAAUCCUUUUCUAAAAAGGACGAUAUAUGGACCAACUAUGUAACGGUAAGGGACAUAUAUGAGCUAAAGUAAUUAACGNNNNNNNNNNNNNNNNNNNNNNNNNGGAGAAACUCGGAUAUGGGAGAAAGAAAAAGGGGAAAAAAAGAGAGAAGAAGAAAUAAAAGAAAAAGGUAAAGAAAAAGUACUAAUAGAAAGGAAAUAGUGUUUGUAAUACACUUUAGUACAAUUAACGAAAGAGCUAAUUAGUUUGGGUGAAUUCCUUUUCAAAAAGGGCAUAUAUGGACCAACUAUGUAACGGUAAGGGCAUAUAUGAGCUAAAGUAUUAACGAAGGGCAAAUGUGCUCAAUUUUGUAUAAUACAAGGGUAUAUUUGGACCUUUUCCGUUAUUUUUUGACCCACUUGUCCCAUAGGCAAAAUUUCAAGUUUAACAAAUAUUGCCUCUCCCUUGCCUGAUGGACAACAUUUUUUACUUUUGAUCUUAAAGGUUUGCCAAUGAGGCAAGCGCAGGUCAAAAAAUUAAGACCAUCUAUUUUCAAAGUCAAUUGAUAUAAUUUCUUGUAAGUGAACGGUAUGACCAACUGAAUAGUGCUAGAAAGAAGUCUUUAAACAGUAAUUAUAAAUAAUAUUACUCCGUCAGGUCUACUUUAAUUGAUUUUUUGACUAUUUUCACACAUAUUAAAGAAUUCACUUUUUAAUAUUAAUUAAAAAUAAAAUUGAUCAUAUUAACCUUUAUUAUUUCUUGAAUUUGUUCAUUGGAAAUAUAACAAAUAUUCAUAAGCUUUUUACUCCAAGGAUAAUUUUGGAAAAAAUAAAUUAAUUCCUUUUUGAUAUCUAAAAAAAAUCAAAUGUUAUGGACCAUAAAAAGAAAACCAAAAAAUCAAUUAAAGUGGUAUUAACUUGAAUAAAGAGAAGUACAGGAAACCCUUUCGGUGGUAGGAUGUAACUGGUAUUUAAAAUUCAUUAGGUAGAUGAGUGAGUACAAAUUGAACACGGAGUGAACGAUGCACUGAACAAUGAAACAAAAUAAGCUAAAAUUGAGGUGGCACGUAGUGGAACCUUGUUUGGAGCAGAUAUGGAAAGUUAGGUCAACAGAGAAGUGGAGAAACAUUAAUGAAAGAAAUAAAAAUGAUAGAAUAAAGCAUGUAGCUUAGGCUGUAGCAUAAAAACAGAAAGUAGAAAGACUUUUGGUCUUCUUUCCAUUUUUGGCCCUCCAACCAAAUCAAACAAACAUCCCCCAAUCGAAGUGCUAUCACGUGCCCUUUCUUUUGCCCGUCCAUCUCCUUUCAAUAUCCAAAAUUUCCAUAAAACUAAACCUUCAUCUUCAUCUUGUUUGAGAGAGAGAGAUGGAUCCACCACAGGUACAAGCCAUAGACACCUCCAGCAAAAGCUAUCCCCCAAUUGAAGACGAGCAAGACAAAAUAGUCGACCAAUGGUAUAUUAUUCCAACUUCCCCUGUUUUGCUCCUUUCUACUUAGUACUAUUAUUCUGUUCUAUAUUUUCUUACUGUUUUAAUUAGACCGAUUUGGUUUACUCUAAUCUUUUUAUUGUGUUUCUGCAGUUGUUCUUGCUUUUACGACUGUACUGAUAGCCUUUUGGAGUACUUGUGCUGCUAUGAUUUCUGGUGUUCCUAGGGAUACAAUUUUUCCAAAAGGGAACUUGUUAGAUGAACUAAUUAUGUUCUUUCGCUUUUGGUUAGCUUUAUUUUGCAGUACAUUACUCGAGUAACAUUAAAAAAAUUAUAAUGAGAUUAUCGUUGGCUUCUUAUUAGGUUAUAGUGGUCUUUUUCCAAUUAUAUGCCUAUGGUUCAUAAACUUAUAUGCUAGAAAGAAUUUGAACCCUUUUUGAUCGUGCAUUAAUCAAUUUUGAUAAUUAAAGAGGCAUUGGUUCUUUCAGCACAUUUCUGAUAAAAAGUUUGUGUUUCAGUUGUGAGCCUUAAUAGAUAAAGUAAAGGGAAGUUGACAAAUGAUAACUAGUCAUAAAUUAUUGAAGAAUGGUCAGGUAUUUUCUCCCUUCUGCCUAGUGCCCAGGGAUACUGGUCUGUACAUCCAUUGGCAUUCUGGCCUAAAGUGGGUUUCCCACUGUUGGUGGAGCCCUAUAUACCACUUUCUUUGGGCAUUUGCAUCUAUAUCCGCCUUUUGUGUCACGGUUUAAUUUGUGUCCGCUUUGCAAAAAAAAUUGCAAGCGUACCUAUUUUUUUGCAUAACUUCAGCAUACGAGGCUGAAGUAGCAAAAACAAUCAUGCAAAACUUCAGCAUUCUAGUAGACGAGCCUAAAGUAGCAAGUGUGCUGAAGUUUUUGUUUUGUAACUGGCGAACUUCAGCUCUUUUAUUUUUGUAAUUGACGAACUUUUGUAACUCGCGAACUCAGCUGAAGUUUUUGUUUUUGUAACUGGCGAAGUUUUUGUUUUGUAACUGGCAAACUUCAGCUCUACAACUGAAGUUUUUGUUUUGCCUUAGCUAUUAAUUAAUAAUACAGGCUGCAAACAACAGUGAAUUCCAGAAACUUAACUACUGAAGGAAGCAUAUUCCAAACCAGUUCAAGAUAGUAGACGAUUUGCGUGAAGAAAGGACGUAAAAAUGAACUAGCUUGCAAAAAUGUAAAUACACGGUCCCACUGUUACCAUCUAACAAAUCUAUCUAUGCACAAUCCAAUCCAAAGCAGAUAAAAUAGGGAAAAUUUCACAUAAGAACAAUUGGGCUCCCUACUUUUCAAUUUUAUAGCCCAUAUUUAUGGAAAUCAUCCCAUGAACUGAAGUUCCAUAGCAGCACCAACAGCAGCAGAAGAAAGAAGAAGAAAACGAAGGAGAAGAAAGGGAGCUGAAGUUAUUUAAAAAAUGGGUACAAGUUAAAAGUUUUUAAAAAAAUGGGUAUAGGUUAAAUGGGGACGACCAAAUAGCGCGCCCCGUGCAGUUUUUACCUUUCCUUGAUCCUGCAAAUCGUAUUUGACUAGUUUGGAUUCGUGUCGGAUAAAUUCACUAAUAAAAGUUAAAAGCUUUCUAUCAAGAAAUUUUUGAUUCUCAGGCUCGAUUACUCUAAUGAUGCUAAGAAUGAUUUUUUCUUCCUUUUUAGCGCCGUUAUUUUACAUUUUGUUGAAAAAGCUACUACCUAUAACUUUUGUUCAUGCUUCCGUUGCUAGUAAUUAACGACUUAACGCGUAGAGCUGUCAAUAUGAGCCAGUCCAGUCCAUGCUAUUUGACGGGCUAGGUUGGAUCGGUCCAUUUGAUGGGCCUUAAAUGAUCAGCCAAACCCAACCCUACGUGGGUCACGAGACCGGCCCAUCAUUUUUAUAAAUUAUUUUUUGUAUUUUUUAAAAUUUAAUUUAUAUAUAUAUAUAUAAAGCUUUUGCAAAACUUAAUAAGUUUUUACAUUGUUCCAAUAGAUUACUAUAAAACACAAAAAAUGAGGACAAUAUUUCAUUUAUUAAAAGUCAAUACUCAAAUAAACUACUCAAAAAAAAAA